AGCAGUGGGGGAUUUUCCGCAAUGGGCGAAAGCCUGACGGAGCAAUACCGCGUGAGGGAGGAAAGCUCCUGGGUUGUAAACCUCUUUUUUCAAGGAAGAACACAAUGACGGUACUUGAGGAAUCAGCAUCGGCUAACUCUGUGCCAGCAGCCGCGGUAAUACGGAGGAUGCAAGCGUUAUCCGGAAUGAUUGGGCGUAAAGCGUCCGCAGGUGGCAAUGUAAGUCUGCUGUUAAAGAGUGAGGCUCAACCUCAUAAGAGCAGUGGAAACUACAUAGCUAGAGUGCGGUCGGGGCAGAGGGAAUUCCUGGUGUAGCGGUGAAAUGCGUAGAGAUCAGGAAGAACACCGGCGGCGAAAGCGCGCUG
rnacentral:rRNA from 1 species